rnacentral:lncRNA from 1 species
UGCCAUGGAGGUUAGCUCUGCAGCCUACAAGAAUAUGUGGCGGUUUGACAUGGAGGCAUUGCCAGCAGAUCUUGUUCGCAGGUAGAACUGGAGUGCAUUUUAAUCUCUUACUCUUUGUUUAUUUUUCAAGCUUUUAGAUACUUCCUGGUGAUCUGACCUGUCUGAAGCAGCGGCUAUUGCAGGACUGGACUGUUAGUUGGGUCCAUUCCUGACCUCCCACUUUUUUCAUGCUUUUAAUGCUUAACUGUUUCUAAACAUCACUUGCUGUAUUCUUGUUGCCAGCCUUCUUGUAGAACAAAUGAAAAAAAAAAAAAAUCAUAAUUGUGAUGAAAUUUUCAGGGGAAUGGCAGUGGAGGAUCCUUCGAUGCCUUGUGGAGUGAGGCUUGUGAUAGAAGACUACCCUUAUGCUUCAGACGGACUCCUCAUUUGGUCAGCCAUAAAAGAAUAUGUAGAAUCUUAUGUUGAUCACUUCUACUCUGAGCCUAACUCUGUCACAUCUGAUAUUGAGCUCCAAGCCUGGUGGAAUGAGAUAAAAAACAAGGGUCAUUUUGACAAGAGGAGCGAACCAUGGUGGCCUAAACUCGAUACCAAAGAAGAUGUAUCUGGCAUACUUACUACAAUGAUCUGGAUUGCAUCAGGGCAGCAUGCUGCUAUAAACUUUGGGCAGUACCCCUUUGGAGGGUAUGUGCCUAGUCGUCCUACCCUCAUGAGAAAACUCAUCCCGCUAGAAAAUGAACAUGAUCAUGAAAAGUUCAUCCGAAACCCUCAGCAUACUUUCCUGUCAUCUUUGCCAACUCAACUUCAAGCCACCAAAAUAAUGGCUGCUCAGGACACUCUGUCGACUCACUCCCCAGAUGAAGAGUACUUGGGUCAGGUAAGCCACCUGCACAGCCAUUGGAUCAAUGAUCACGAAAUAGUAGAAUUGUUCAAUAGAUUUUCUGCUCGAUUAGAGGAGAUUGAAGGAAUAAUAAACUUGAGAAAUAAGGAUGCCCGCCUUAAAAACAGAAGCGGUGCAGGUGUUCCACCAUAUGAACUGCUCGUUCCCACUUCAGGCCCUGGAGUAACAGGUCGAGGAAUCCCCAAUAGCAUUUCUAUCUAAAAGGUUAGCCUGGUUUAAAAUCAUUGUAAGUGUCAGAUAUUGCUGCCUUUGCCUAGCAUAUACCACUUUCUUUCUCAAAGAGCUUGUUCACCUAGCAUCUGCAAUAAAAUGUGAAGCAUAGAAGCAAUUUCUAUGGUAUUCAUAUUUAGACUAAGCACCUAGAGCUUUAUGAAUACAGUAUAUGACGUAGAAAAAACAAAUCAGAAAGAUCUAAAGUUUGAAUACCAGUGUGUUUGUGUGGUGUAAAUUAUUUUUGAUGUGCUUUGAUCGAUUAAAAAUGGAAGUUCUUUGCAUACUCGGGCCUUGGUAAU